AGUAGCAAAAGAAACACUGACCACUCACAGGCUGGGUAAUUGCAUUCGUUGCUUCUUUUUAUUUCUUGCUCGUCUCCUAGAAAAGAACAACUCUGACUUUGACUUCAUCCUUUCAUUGCAUUAACAUUGACGGGGGACAUGGUCAUUGUCAGGGCUAUGACUUUGCCUGGUGCUCCAUAUACAUUGUUAUCUCAUUCUGUUCUCAUAGCAAUUCUAUAAGGUAGGUGGUAUUUGUAUUAUUUUAUUUUAUUUCCUUUUUUUUGGAGAUGGAGUCUUGCUCUGUUGCCCAGGCUGGAGUGCAAUGGCGCAAUCUCAGCUCACUGUGCGAACUCUACAUCCUGGGUUCAAGCGAUUCUCCUGCCUCAGCCUCCCGAGUAGCUGGGACUACAGGUGCAUGCUGCCACACCUGGCUAAGUUUUUGUGUUUUAGUAGAGACGGACGGGGUUUCACCGUGUUGCUCAGGCUGGUCUCAAACUCCUGAGCUCAGACAAUCCGCCCACCUCGGCCUCCCAAAGUGCUGGGAUGACAGGCAGGAGCCGUUGCGCCUGGACUUUAUUUACUUUUAUUUAUUAUUUAUUUUAUUUUUAUUUUUAUUUAUUUAUUUUUGAGACGGAGUCUCACUCUGUUGCCCAGGCUGGAGUGCAGUGGCACAAUCUCGGCUCACUGCAACCUCCGUCUCCCGGGUUCAAGCAAUUCUCCCUGCCUCAGCCUCCUGAGUAGCUGGGACUACAGGUGCCCACCACCACACCCAGCUAAUUUUCGUAUUUUUUAGUAGAGACAGGGUUUCGCCACGUUGGCCAUGCUGGUCUUGAACUCCUGACCUCAGGUGAUCUGCCUCCCAAAGUGCUGGGAUUACAGGCAUGAGCCACCGCACCUGGCCUGUUUAUUUUAUUUUAUUAUUAUUAUUUUUUGAGACAGAAUCUUGCUCUGUUGCCCAGGCUGGGUGCAGUGGUGUGAUCUUAGCUCACUGCAACCCCCUCCUCCUGGGUUCAAGCGAUUCUCCUGCCUCAGCCUCCUGAGUAGCUGGGAUUACAGGCACACGCCACCAUGCCCAGCUAAUUUUGUAUUUAGUAGCGACGGGGUUUCACCGUGUUGGUCAGGCUGGUCUCAGACGCCUCAGCCUCCUGAAGUGCUGGGAUUACAGGUGUGAGCCACCGUGCCCAGCCUAUUUAUUUUAUUUUUAAGAGGCAGGGUCUUGCUCUGUUGCCCAGGCUGGAGCACAGUGGGCACAAUCAUAGCUCAUUGUAACCUCAAAUUCUUGGACUCAAGGGAUCCCCCCACCUCAGCCUCCCAAGUAGCUGGGACUACAGGUGCGUGCCACCAUGCCUGGCUAAUUUUUCAAUUUUUUGUAGAGGCAGAGUCUUGCUUUGUUUCCCAGGCUAGUCUCAAACUCCUAGCUUCAAGCAGUCCUCCUGCCUAGGCCUCCUAAAGUGCUAUUACAGGUGUGAGCCACUGCACCUGGCCUGUAUUAUUUUAUUUUAUUUUAUUUAUUUUUCUGAGAUGGAGUCUCGCUCUGUCGCUCAGGCUAGAGUGCAGUGGCACGAUCUCGGCUCACUGCAACCUCCGCCUCUCAGGUUCAAGCAAUUCUCCUGCCUCAGCCUUCUGAGUAGCUGGGAUUACAGGCAUGUGCCACCACACCCGGCUAAUUUUUGUAUUUUUAGUAGAGAUGGGGGUUUCACCAUGUUGGUCAGGCUGGUCUCAAAUGCUUCACCUCAUGAUCCGCCCGCCUCGCCCUCCCAAAGUGCUGGGAUUACAGGCAUGAGCCACCGCGCCUGAAUGCCUGUUUUAUUUUAUAUGAGAAUAAUUAUGAGAAUAAUUGAGGCCCACAGAGAUUAGGUAACUUUGUAACCUUCUGCUUAAGGAUUCUCACCCAGUUCUCCCUGGCUUCAAUUUCAAAUUUUGUGUGAGUUUCGGACAGCCUCUUAUUUUGUUAUCCUACUAUAAGCCAGACAGGUACCUUGGCACCAGGGUCUCACCAAUAAAUCAGACAUAGUUCUUGCCCUCAAAGAGCUUGGGGCCAGCCAAAAUACUGUUGUCUUGGUGUUCAAGACCAAUGCAGCACAAUCCGUUUAGGCUGCCUGUAAACAAGUUAAUAUUGAAGAAAAGAUAGUACCAACAGACUCACUACUUGUUUUCCAAGUUGCUACUAUUUGCAGAUUUCUCAGGAAUGCCUGUGGGGAUGAAAAGCCACUAAGAGAUAAUAAACCAUAGAAGAGCGUAUGUGGAGUGAAAACGGUUGAUCUGAAGGCGAAGCUUGCAGCCAGUCAGCUUUGCCUGGCAUGCUGGUUGUGGGGAGGUAGAGGCUUAACGUUUGGUCUUGUCUAGCCACAGAGCAGGCUAGGCAGGGACAGGGCCUGGCUGCGGAGGUGGAAGGCCUGGGCUCUAGUCUGAGCUUGGCUACCACACACUUGGAGGCUUAGGUCUGCUGUUUGCUCUGUUCAGAACCUGUUGAGGUUCUGAAUCUUCUACACGAAGGCAGAUGAAAGCUGAAAAUUGACUUUGAUAUGUGAUUAAAGUCCAUAGGUGGUUUGGUGACUCUCAGACAAAGAUUAAGUAGACUUUUGAGGCUGUGACUUCACUAUAGAGACACAGUGUGCAGAAUGGAUUGAGGCUCUCAUACGCAAAUCCAAUCCACCGUUAAGAUUGUCACUCGUGGCCAGGCAUGGUGGCUCACGCCUGUAAUCCUGGCACUUUGGGAGGCCAAGGUGGGCGGAUCAUGAGGUCAGGAGUUCCAGACCAGCCUGACCGACAUGGUGAAACCCUGUCUCUACUAAAAAUACAAGAAAAAACAAAAUUAGCCGGUGUGGUGGCACAUGGUUGUAAUCCCAGCUACUCAGGAGGCUGAGGCAGGAGAAUCACUUGAACUUGGGAGGCAGAGGUUGCAGUGAGCUGAGAUGGCGCCACUGCACUCUAGCCUGGGUGACAGAGCAAGACUCUAUCUCAAAAAAAAAAAAAAAAGAAAGUUCAAAAAUUGACUUUGAUAUGUGAUUAAAGUCCACAGGUGGGUUGGUGACUCUCAGACAAAGAUUAAGUACACCUUUGAGGCUGUGACUUCACUGUAGAGACACAGUAUGCAGAAUGGAUUGAGGCUCUCAUACACAAAUCCAAUACAACGUUAAAAUUGUCACUCUUGGCAGGGUGCAGUGGCUGACGUCUGUAAUCCCAGCACUUUGGGAGGCCCAGGCGGGUGGAUCACCUGAGGUGAGGAGUUUCGAGACCAGCCUGGCCAACAUGGUGAAACCCUGUCUCUACUAAAAAUACAAAAAUUAGCUGGGCGUGGUGGCGGGUGCAUGUAAUCCCAGCUACUUGGGAGGCUGUGGCAGGAGAAUCUCUUCAACUCAGGAGGCCUCCAAGGUUGCAGCGAGCCAAGACCGCGCCACUGCACUCCAGCCUGGGUGACAGAGCGAGACUGUCUCAAAAAAGAAAGAUAGUCAUUUGUGCACUUGGACCCAACAUAUAAAAGGUGCUGACUCUCAUACCUAGACACAGGACAGGUGGGGGAUACUUAAUCUCAGCUCUGGACCUUCCUGAAAGUGUGGUUGUGACAUAGCCCAUCAUGGCUAAGCUCUUUAUUUGUAGCAAGAGGAGGGAGAGAAGGCAGUCUUUGUGGCUCCAGAGUGUCAGGAUUCAUGAGGAUGGCUAGGUCAGUUCUUGAUUUGGGGUGGAAGGCUUUCGCCUAGAUAUUCUAUUAAAAUGUUUUCUUCCUGGACUUAAAUGAUCCUUCCAUCUCGGCCUCCCAAAGUGCUGGGAUUAUAGGCAUGAGCAGUGGCCCGGUCUAGAUAUUCUCACAUUAGAAAGGUAAAGAGCAGUGGACGAGCUGGCUCUCAAGGCUGAGACAUUCUAUCUCCUUAGCUCUUCUUGCAACUCUUCUGAAAAUUGAGCUUGUAAAGUAGCUUUGAUCCUUAAAAAAAAAAAAAAAAUCUGUUGUCUGCUUAAACAAAAGCAGUUCUUAGAGUGGCUUUGCCUUUAUUUUAGUAUAACACAGAUUGCUUCUCCUUUGUUUCCGUUGUCUCAGUGUUCUCCCAGUUCUAAGAAGCUGUCAGCGUAUAUAAUAUAUUACCUGGUUGCCUCAGUCCCCUUCAAAUUUCCAUCCUUAAGGGUUUUCUUCCUAAUGGUUGGGGAAAUUCUUGAAAGGACAAGGUCAAUAUGCCUUUGCUGGGAUAUACUUUUAAAAAAUUUAUUUUGGCUCUGUGUUGUUUGUCAAGGCUUCAGAGAGCCCUGCAAGUGAGAGUGCUCCGUUUACCAUUUUGAAUUUCUCCCUUUCUGGUUGGCCAACAUCGUGUUUCCACUGUAAUCCACCUGAAAAACAAACAGGAAAGUUUACACAGGUCUCUGUGUUCAACCAUCUGCCUCCGCAAUGAUCUCUACAACAAUGUAAGAGCUAGAAGACCAACUCUGGGUGUGUGUGUGUGUGUGUGUGUGUGCGUGCGCACGUGUGUGAUAUUUGGGGAGCACGAGCUAUGUGUCUGGCUCAGGGUUGGGCAUUCGGAACAUCAAUGGCGAACAAAGAUAGAUGUGAUCCCUACUCACAAGGAGCUUAUAGUCUACUGUCAGAAGAAAGACAUUAAUCAAAUAAUCACAAAAGCAAAACCAGACUGCAAUCACUGCUUUGAGGGAGGAUGCACAGUGUAGCAAAGCUUAUCAUAGGGAAAACUAACCUAGUUAGGGUUAAUAAGGAGAGUACUGGGAAGAGGAAAGUCAUGUUCUCUCUGUGAUCUCUGAGUGCUGAUAAAUGAUUAAGACAAGCAUUUGUACCCUUGUAUUUCUAAAUCUAAUAUGGUCUCCAUGAUUUUUUUAAAAUCAUGUAACGCCCCCAGCUAGGAACUCAGGGCACAGAGAUAAACAAGACAUUGCCUAGGAGACACACCCUGAAAGAAACUGUAAUACAAGGUGCCAAGGUGAUACUAGCAAGAGGGGUGUGCAAGGACGCCUAGGAGCCCAGAGGGCACAGGGGAUUGGU
rnacentral:lncRNA from 1 species